rnacentral:rRNA from 1 species
UACGUAGGAGGCGAGCGUUGUCCGGAGUUACUGGGCGUAAAGCGCACGCAGGCGGUCGCAUCAGUCUGGGGUGACAGUUCCCGGCUUAACCGGAAAAGGACUCUGGAAACUGUGCGACUUGAGGGCUUCAGAGGGAUGUGGAAUUCCAGGUGGAGUGGUGAAAUGCGCAGAUAUCAGGAGGAACACCGGUGGCGAAGGCGGGUCUCUGGGAAGUAACUGACGCUGAGAAGCGAAAGCAUGGGUAGCAAACAGG